GACAACAACAAAAAUAAACAAGUACAGCAAAAGUAAAUAAAUUUUCCAAUAAAUAAAAUGCUUCAAAAAGUGAUUUUGGGGGUAUCUGGGCAUGUAUCUGGGGGAGUUGACAGUGCCUUCGAUAAUGUAUAUUGAAAAACAAAGGUUUUAAGAAAUUUGACACAUUCCAUAUGAUGUAACAUCAUCUGUCACUGAUUUUUUCCUGGCCUGUUCGAUUAUCUAACACAUUUUUAACAUAAAAUCAACUAUGUUCGCCGCUAAAGCAUCCAGGUUGAUCCCCCAAGUUCAGAAAGUCGGUCAACAGACGAGGAACCUCUCUGGGCCCCCCACAGUCAAGGUAUCCCCAGCUGAAAAACUCGUUCACGGUCUUUUGAUUGCUGUUGGAGUCCUAUCCCUUCCCGCUUAUAUACUCGUUAAUGUCAAGAAUUACAGAGGCCAAUCAGAGGACUAAUUGAAGUUCAGAGUCGUAUAGUUCGAUAAGCUUAAAAUGUAGUAUUAAUUUAAAAUUUUGUUAUCAGAAAUCAAUGUAAUAGAAAUAUAAAAAAUUA